rnacentral:rRNA from 1 species
GGAAAGAUUUUUUGGUUGGGGAUGGGCUCGCGGCCUAUCAGCUUGUUGGUGAGGUAAUGGCUCACCAAGGCGUCGACGGGUAGCCGGCCUGAGAGGGUGACCGGCCACACUGGGACUGAGACACGGCCCAGACUCCUACGGGAGGCAGCAGUGGGGAAUAUUGCACAAUGGGCGGAAGCCUGAUGCAGCAACGCCGCGUGAGGGAUGACGGCCUUCGGGUUGUAAACCUCUUUUAGCAGGGAAGAAGCGAAAGUGACGGUACCUGCAGAAAAAGCGCCGGCUAACUACGUGCCAGCAGCCGCGGUAAUACGUAGGGCGCAAGCGUUAUCCGGAAUUAUUGGGCGUAAAGAGCUCGUAGGCGGUUUGUCGCGUCUGCUGUGAAAUCCCGAGGCUCAACCUCGGGCCUGCAGUGGGUACGGGCAGACUAGAGUGCGGUAGGGGAGAUUGGAAUUCCUGGUGUAGCGGUGGAAUGCGCAGAUAUCAGGAGGAACACCGAUGGCGAAGGCAGAUCUCUGGGCCGUAACUGACGCUGAGGAGCGAAAGGGUGGGGAGCAAACAGGCUUAGAUACCCUGGUAGUCCACCCCGUAAACGUUGGGAACUAGUUGUGGGGUCCAUUCCACGGAUUCCGUGACGCAGCUAACGCAUUAAGUUCCCCGCCUGGGGAGUACGGCCGCAAGGCUAAAACUCAAAGGAAUUGACGGGGACCCGCACAAGCGGCGGAGCAUGCGGAUUAAUUCGAUGCAACGCGAAGAACCUUACCAAGGCUUGACAUAUACGAGAACGGGCCAGAAAUGGUCAACUCUUUGGACACUCGUAAACAGGUGGUGCAUGGUUGUCGUCAGCUCGUGUCGUGAGAUGUUGGGUUAAGUCCCGCAACGAGCGCAACCCUCGUUCUAUGUUGCCAGCACGUAAUGGUGGGAACUCAUGGGAUACUGCCGGGGUCAACUCGGAGGAAGGUGGGGAUGACGUCAAAUCAUCAUGCCCCUUAUGUCUUGGGCUUCACGCAUGCUACAAUGGCCGGUACAAUGGGCAGCGAUACCGUGAGGUGGAGCGAAUCCCAAAAAGCCGGUCCCAGUUCGGAUUGAGGUCUGCAACUCGACCUCAUGAAGUCGGAGUCGCUAGUAAUCGCAGAUCAGCAACGCUGCGGUGAAUACGUUCCCGGGUCUUGUACACACCGCCCGUCAAGUCAUGAAAGUCGGUAACACCUGAAG